rnacentral:siRNA from 1 species
CGCAUCUGUUUUGGGUACAGA